AAAAUGGGCAACAGACUCCCAUUUUUACAGAUGAAGAAAUCAAUGUUCAAAGAAGUAAUGUUCCUUUUUUGUAAGUGCAUUUGAACCCAAAUCUUAGUGUACAAAGAAAUUUUAGAGAUUCCUGUCCUGUGUGCCUGGUGAAGGACAAAAGUAAAAAUACUCUGUGACCCUGAUAUCUAAUGACUUAUCAUAACCCCACACUUUCUGUAUUGCUGGGCCUCACUAAGGUCCCCUUUCCUUUUAUUGAGAGAUAAAGCCUUUUCCUGGAUAGAAUAGUGACUGUGUUUCCUCUAUUCACUAUCCCAACAUCUCCCAGCCAAAGUUCAGGGAAGCAGCUCUA